CGCACCUUCUGAGUUUAUCUGCUCUGUGGUGACAUCUGGCUCUGUCUUCCUCUCCCUCCUCUCCCCAACCCCCAAGAUGGAAUGUACUCUUCCUCCCCAGUUACUGGGGGUUUCACAGCUGCUGCUUUCUCCUUUCUACUGGUUGAUGGGUUCAUUCAACUGACCCUGUUUCAGCUACCCUUGCUGCUGGUGUGGCCCAAGGAAAUUUGUUUCCUGAUGUGGUGAUGAAUCAAUGUCCUGCUCCAGAUCAGGUCAUUUGAUACCUGUGGGCUGUGGUAAUAAGCCCAUUGAUGAAGGAAGUAGCCAAGAAUCAUUACCAUGGCAUCACAGAUUUCAGUGAGUUUCUCUUCCCAGCAGCCUUGUGAGGUGGAAUAAAGUCUUUCUGGUUUUUACCAUCGGAGAAUGCAGCCACUGAGAAGAGAUGUAUUUUUUUUCUAACAACUUCCUUAAUACUUUCACAAAUUCCAGGUGGUACAUAUCUGCACCACUGACUCCAUGAAAACUCUGGAGUGUAAUGACUUCCCCAGCAAUAUACCAGCUAUACUUUUGGGUUUUAACCAGCCUUUUGCAAGGUUGUGGUUACAUUUCUCACUGUUGGCCCAAACUUUUCAAUGAGAGCCACACUCUUGGGCAGUGACACUCCAGUGUUUGGAGGCCACUGUGCCACCCACAGAUGGACACCACGGGGAAUGGGCAGGCCUCUGCUAGAAGAAAUUAACUGCCAGUUGAGGUCAUUGAUCACUAGGCUUCAUCCCCCCCGAUGAAGCAAAGUUACCUGAAUGUGAGGAAGAUGAGAGUGUCACUAGAAGCAGAAUAUUGCUGCAGGUGUAGCAGAAGAGCCAGGCGAGGGAAGACUGCUGCAAGAAAUGCAUCUGACUUGGAAAGCCCAUCGGGGAAAUGAGGAGAUGAUGGGCCUCAGUCUGUGCACCACUCAGGUCCUUCACAAUGGCUUAAGUCUUAAUUUAAAAUACACAAAAUAUGAAAGCGACCAAAAAAGGCUUGUGAAAAUGGAUUUGUGAGUGGAGCAUGGCCCAUUAAAUGACAUCAAAGUCCUCUAGGAGAACACAAAAGAUCUGAGCCAUGUCCCUUUUAUGGUUUGACUCAUAUACACCUGCAUCAUGUAUAACUUUCUGUAAAUGUCACUCUGUUAUCUUUUGCCCACUAGUUGUCAAGUUAUGUUUAAGAUUUGAGACAUAUUUCCAAAUGCCUUUCUUUCCUGUCUUUAUUUCAGCAGCAGAAGUGUGUAGAGAUGCCAGUCCCACAAACAGCUAGAUGGAUGGAUAUUUACAGCAGAGGUGGGUUAUAUCAACCUGCACAGAUUAAAAAGCAAGAAGUAACCCAGAGACAGGACUUUGCUGACAUGCUCAGGUCAAACUGCAUGUUUAUUGCUGUUUGUUUACAAGAGGGUUGAGAUACACAAUCACUAUUGAUUGUUACGUUGUGGAAAUAUCUAAAUAUUACUUAAAUUUUUCCCAUUAUCCUCACACUGAAUUCAGCACUUUUGCCAGGAGACUCAAUGGAUGGAGGAUGGGAGGAAGCACAACACCAUCCAAAACCGUGCCUCACCUGGUGUAAGGAAGGAGACCAUUGCACAGAUCCUGAGACUUUUGGCAGUGAGUAUCUGGCUGGAUGUGGCUGCUUAUGUUGGGUGGCUGUGGUGUGUUGAGCCAAUGAAGAAGGUCUGGACAGUGCAGGAUUGUGGCUCCUCCUGUGGAGCCAGGUCAGUGACUCACUAUGGGGGGAGUCAGAAGAAUACGGAGUGUGAUUUCAGAAGAGCUACCCAGUUUUUGGGGUUUUCCAGUAGGGUCCUUGUACCUUCUCCCUGCAGGCUCAGAAAUGCUCCAACUCUCAUUCUUCAUAAUUGUCGGAGACUCCUUGAGCCAGAUGCCAGCAGGAUGGCCCAUAGUUAUGGGAUGAGGACUUUUUGCUGUCAGUGUUGAUGCUUCUUGGACAAAUGAGAACAUUCUUGGGCAAAUGAUGUGAGGUGAGAAGUCUGAAAAAAUUAAUCUGGAUGAAUCAGACUACACUGAGUCCAUGUAUUUAUGUGUAACGUUCCUGGAACAUCUUUCUGUAUAAUCAAAUCUUAGACUUACAAGUUGUGUAUCCCAUGUAAACACUGAGCUGCAGACGAAUGCUGGAGCAACCAAACACAAACUGCAGGCAAGGAGCAUAAUCAGAGUGAUUUUCCCACUUUAAAUAGAAGCUCAGGGGAAAAUUUCAGUGUGAGGAGAGACUGAAAAGUCUGGGCCAGUUGAGGAGACUGAGAGGAAACCUCAUCAUGGUUUGCAGCUUCCUCAUGAGGGGACGUGGAGGGGCAGAUGCUGAUCUCUCUGGUGCCCAGUGACAGGACCCGAGGGAAUGGCAUGGAGCUGUGUCAGGGAAGGUUUAGGUUGGAUAUUAGGAAAUGAUUCUUCACCCACAGGGUGGUUAGGCACUGGAACUGGCUUCCCAGGAAAGUGGUCACAGCACCAGCCUAAAGGAGUUCAAGAAGUGGACAAUGCUGUCAGGAACAUGGUGUGGCUCUUGGGGCUGUGCUGUGCUGAGCCAGGAGUCAGACUUGAUUAUCCCUGUCAGUCUCUUUCAACUCAGGAGAUUCUAUGAUUCUAUAACUAUUAACUGAGAUGAUCAAGAAAGGAAAUAUAACAGGGACUGUAUCAAAAUAGGGACUACCCAGACGGAUACAGGCUCUGGUUACUCCUGUUUGCCCUUUCUCCAGAAGACACUGACGGGGAGGAGAUGUCACAGUUAAGAUUACCAGAGGCCACCUGGCGUUUCAGCCACAAGCCCCGCGAGUCGCUGGUCGCAUUAAUCUCUUCAAGCUGUGACUGAGGCCGGGGUCUCGGCGGGUUGCGGGAAGGAUGUGCCGUUCGUGCAGGCGCUGGGAGCCGGCCGGGCUGUGAGGGCUCCC